AUUGAACGCUGGCGGCAUGCCUUACACAUGCAAGUCGAACGGCAGCGCGGGAGCAAUCCUGGCGGCGAGUGGCGAACGGGUGAGUAAUAUAUCGGAACGUGCCCAUUAGUGGGGGAUAGCCCGGCGAAAGCCGGAUUAAUACCGCAUACGACCUGAGGGUGAAAGCGGGGGAUCGCAAGACCUCGCGCUAUUGGAGCGGCCGAUAUCAGAUUAGCUAGUUGGUGGGGUAAAGGCCUACCAAGGCAACGAUCUGUAGUUGGUCUGAGAGGACGACCAGCCAAACUGGGACUGAGAGACGGCCCAGACUCCUACGGGAGGCAGCAGUGGGGAAUUUUGGACAAUGGGCGCUAGCCUGAUCCAGCAAUGCCGCGUGCAGGAAGAAGGCCUUCGGGUUGUAAACUGCUUUUGUCAGGGAAGAAAUCCUUUGGGCUAAUACCUCGGAGGGAUGACGGUACCUGAAGAAUAAGCACCGGCUAACUACGUGCCAGCAGCCGCAGUAA
rnacentral:rRNA from 1 species